rnacentral:rRNA from 1 species
UACGUAGGCAGCGAGCGUUGUUCGGAAUUACUGAGCGUAAAGAGUGUGUAGGCGGUGCUCUAAGUUCGGUGUGAAAUCUCCUGGCUUAACUGGGAGGGUGCGCCGGAAACUGGAGUGCUUGAGCGUGGGAGAGGAAAGCGGAAUUCCUGGUGUAGCGGUGAAAUGCGUAGAUAUCAGGAGGAACACCUGUGGUGUAGACGGCUUUCUGGACCAUUGCUGACGCUGAGACACGAAAGCGUGGGUAGCAAACAGG